GUUGAGUCUUUUAAAAUGUCUGUUCGACCACACCAUAGCCAGUUUUAACAUGCAUUUGUUACCUAUUUAAAAUGAAAAGAAUACUUAAAACAAUCUCGUGAAGCUAUUUCCUUGUUGCGGUUGGCAAGGUGUUGCUUUCGUCAUAGCCCAGUCUCGAGGUAUGAUGUUAUGCGUUUCAUGGAGAGGGUGUGCCUCGUCCCUGUUUGGAAAUAGCAGGUGGUUAAGAGGGGCAUGUCAGAAUAUCAUUCCUGGGACGUCAUAUCAUGGUCCUUCGACGUCAUGAGACAUUAUUUACCUGUGUUUCCUAGCUGCUUCUGGCCCCGCCAUCUCCUCAUGCACACACCCCCACACAAUCCAAAUCCCUCCCCCCCCACAGUGGCUACCUGCUUGGGCUCCGCACGCCGUGUUAGAUCAGUGUGCGUGUCUUGUAUAUAGCAGGACUCCAGUGGUUGUUCAUAGAGUCAGAUAGAUGAUGUUAUUUUUAUUUUUUUGUUGCCUAGUGGUGAGCAGCAGCUUUGAGGACCAGUUGACCAGUCUAAAUGGAUCGGGCCCCCUAGAUUUGGCCCAGGCCAAUGGGCCCCAGGAGACAGAAGCCCUGCACCGGCCCUUCGGCCUGGACUCGGCCGCGCUGACGGAGACGGUCGAGAGCGAACCCAACCUCUUCGUGGCGCUCUAUGACUUUGUGGCCAGAGACGAUAACAUGCUCAGCAUCACCAAAGGCGAGAAGCUGCUGGGCUACAACUAUGGCGAGUGGAGCGUGGUGCUCUCCAAGAACGGCGAGGGCUGGGUGCCGUCCAACUACAUCACGCCCGUCAACAGCCUGGAGAAGCACAGCUGGUACCGCAGCCCCGUGUCGCGCAGCGCCGCCAUGUACCUGCUCGGCCUGGACUCGGCCGCGCAGACGGAGGCGGUACGCUGGCGCUACAAGAAGAACCUCCGGGGGACGGCGGAGAGCGACCCCAAACUCUUCGUGGCGCUCUAUGACUAUGUGGCCGAAGACGAUGACGAGCUCAGCAUCACCAAAGGCGAGAAGCUGCUGGGCUACAACUAUGGCGAGUGGAGCGUGGUGCUCUCCAAGAACGGCCAGGGCUUGGUGCCGUCCAACUACAUCAUGCCCGUCAGCCUGGAGAAGCACAGCUGGUACCACGGGCCCGUGUCGCGCAACGCCGUCAUGUACCUGCUCAGCCUGGACUCGGCCGCGCAGACAGAGGACCUGGUGGGGACGGCGGAGAGCGACCCCAACCUCUUCGUGGCGCUCUAUGACCUCGGGUUCUCCGGCGAUGGCACAAUCGUCAUCAAAGGCGAGAAGCUGCGGGUGCUGGGCUACGACAAUGGCGAGUUGAGCGAAGUGCGCUCCAAGAACGGCCAGGGCUUGGUGCCGUCCAACUACAUCUGGCCCGUCAACAGCCUGGAGAAGCACAGCUUGUACCGCAGCCCCGGGCGCUACUCCGCCGAGUACCUAUUCGGCCUGGUCUCGGCCGCGCUGACGGAGGCGGUACGCUGGAGCUCUGAGGAGAACCCUCACGGGGAGUCGGAGAGCGACCCCAACCUCUUCAUGGCGCUCUAUGACUAUGUGGCCGAAGACGAUGACGAGCUCAGCAUCACCAAAGGCGAGGAGCUGCGGGUGGUGGGCUACAGCAAGUGGAGCCAGGUGCGCUCUGAGAAUGGCCAGGGCUGGGUGCCGUCCAACUACAUCAUGCCCGUCAGCCUGGAGAAGCACAGCUGGUACCACGGGCCCGUGUUGCGCAGCUCCGCCAAGUACCUGCUCAGCUCGCUCAUCGACGGCAGCUUCCUGGUGUGGGAGAGCGAGAGCAGCCCCGGGCAGCUGUCCAUCUCGCUGUGCUACGAGGGCCGUGUGUACCACUACCGCAUCAACACGUCCUCCGACGGAAAGGUGUACGUGACGGCGGAGAGCCGCUUCGCCACGCUGGUGCAGCUGGUCCACCACCACUCCACGGUGGCGGACGGCCUGGUCACCACGCUGCACUACCCGACGCCCAAGUGCAACAAGCCCACCGUGUACGGCGUGUCGCCCAUCCACGACAAGUGGGAGAUGGAGCGCACCGACAUCACCAUGAAGAAAAAGCUGGGCGGCGGGCAGUACGGCGAGGUCUACAUGGGCGUCUGGAUCAAACGUUGGCGUCUGGUCGCGGUCAAAAAGAUCAAGGAGGACACCAUGGAGGUUGAAGAGUUACUGAAGGAGGCGGCGUUGAUGAAAGAAGUCAAACACCCCAACCUGGUCCAACUUCUAGGCGUGUGCACCCUGGAGACUCCCUUCUCCAUCGUGAUGGAGUACAUGCCCAACGGCAACCUGCUGGACUACCUGAGGGAGUGCGACCGUGAGGAGACGAACGCUGUGGUGCUGCUCUACAUGGCCACGCAGAUCUCCUCCGCCAUGGAGUACCUGGAGAAGAAGAACUUCAUACACGGGGACCUGGCUGCCAGGAACUGCCUGGUGGGGGAGAACCACGUGGUGAAGGUGGCGGACUUCGGCCUGAGCCGGCUGAUGACCGGGGACACCUACACGGCCCACGCCGGCGCCAAGUUCCCCAUCAAUUGGAGCGCGCCCGAGGGCCUGGAAAACAGCACCUUCUCCAUCAAGUCUGACGUGUGGGCGUUCGGGGUGCUGCUCUGGGAGAUCACAACCUACGGCAAGUCUCCGUACCCCGGGAUGGACCGGUCCCAGGUGUACGACCUGCUGGAGAAAGGCUAUCGCAUGAAGCAGCCUGAGGGCUGCCCCCCUAAAGUCUACGAGCUCAUGUGGGCCUGCUGGCAGUGGAACCCGUUGGAACGGCCUUCGUUUGCUGAGAUCCAUCAGGCCUUUGAGACCAUGUACCAUGAUUGCCGCAUAUCUGAAGGUGUGGUCUCUCCACCGUGCUCGGGGUGGACGUCCGGUCGGGCUGCUCCCCGGCUCUCCCCCGCAAACAGCAGCCCCGGGACAAGUCUAGCGAGCAAGCCAAGACGAAUGACAAUAUAUUAUGUAUCUAUAUGGGGACCAUCGUUUCAGUAAGUAUUUGGGUUUACCUCUAGUGUUUAAUCAAUCAGUGUUUUGGCCAACAGUGCUUUCAUGCCAUUGUUACCUGAAUCUGGUGGAUUUUAAUCGGCAAUCGCAGUCUAGAAAUCAUCCAAUAGUUGGAUCUAUCUUUCCAAUGUGCUAUUUCUAGAUGCGUUUCCAAACUGGGGAAGAUUAUAGGAGAAUCGAUUGGGACACAGGGGUCAAUUGAAGAGUUUGAGUUAAAUGUUCUGUUUAAUUAUCUAGGCUCAAAUAGAACAAUAAGCAUGAUGAAUAACACAUUCAUUAUAUUACUUAUAACCCUUUUUAAGAGAUUUAGUUGGGGAAAUAUGGUUGUCUUCAUUUUUAACCACAGCAAUUUGUUUUGGAUGUGACUUGACUAACUUCAGUUCUCACCACAGCACACACUACACAAGGGGGGGGGGGAUGAAACACACACACACACACACACACACACACACACACACACACACACACACACACACACACACACACACACACACACACACACACACACACACACACACACACACACACACACACACUGCAGAUGUGAAUCUAAACGGAUGAAAAUACAGCAGAGAUGUUAACAUAUUAACUCAUUCUAUUGUACAAAAUAAAUUUUGUUUUUUAUUUAAUGCUCAUGUGUAUUACUGUGAAGUUCUCAUCAGUGUUAAACCUAUUGUAAAUAAUAAAGUCAUUGCCAAAUACCCUGUGGUUUUUGGAGUAUUAUUUUACUGUCCAUCAACCGUUACAUUUAUAGCCACACCUCUGUUGUGAAAUAUGUUCGAGGUAAAAGCGAAGUUCAUCCCACGGUUGCCAUUAUGAGAACCAUCUUUUCUCUUCAAAUAUGUAUGUGGAUUAAUAAAACAUCAGGGCAAUGUCCUGACUCCGGCGAUGGCCACCACUGGAUUGCUGUUUGGUUGGGUUGGAUGAUCGCGCGCCCCACACCAUAUCCGACUCCUCCCCGAGCGCAGUUCAGUGUAAAGAUGGCGUCCAUCAUGGAGGGGCCGCUGAGUAAGUGGACUAACGUCAUGAAAGGUUGCCAGUAUCGUUGGUUUGUGUUGGAUUACAAUGCCGGCUUGCUGUCAUACUACACGUCUAAGGACAAGAUGAUGCGAGGCUCAAGAAGAGGCUGUGUUCGUCUCAGGGGCGCUGUAAUCGGCAUUGAUGACGAGGACGACAGCACAUUCACCAUCACCGUGGACCAAAAGACUUUCCAUUUCCAAGGUCCAUCCUGACGGUGCCCUGGGUGGAGCUUGGCGGCAAGUGCAGCGUCGUCUGCUCCAAGUCGGGCUACAGCGCCAACAUCGUGUUCCA